rnacentral:rRNA from 1 species
GAUGAACGCUGGCGGCGUGCCUAAUACAUGCAAGUCGAGCGAACGGACGAGAAGCUUGCUUCUCUGAUGUUAGCGGCGGACGGGUGAGUAACACGUGGAUAACCUACCUAUAAGACUGGGAUAACUUCGGGAAACCGGAGCUAAUACCGGAUAAUAUUUUGAACCGCAUGGUUCAAAAGUGAAAGACGGUCUUGCUGUCACUUAUAGAUGGAUCCGCGCUGCAUUAGCUAGUUGGUAAGGUAACGGCUUACCAAGGCAACGAUGCAUAGCCGACCUGAGAGGGUGAUCGGCCACACGGGAACUGAGACACGGUCCAGACUCCUACGAGAGGCAGCAGUAGGGAAUCUGCCGCAAUGGGCGAAAGCCUGACGGAGCAACGCCGCGUGAGUGAUGAAGGUCUUCGGAUCGUAAAACUCUGUUAUUAGGGAAGAACAUAUGUGUAAGUAACUGUGCACAUCUUGACGGUACCUAAUCAGAAAGCCACGGCUAACUACGUG